rnacentral:rRNA from 1 species
UGCGUAGGCGGGUCUUUAAGUCAGGGGUGAAAUCCUGGAGCUCAACUCCAGAACUGCCUUUGAUACUGAAGAUCUUGAGUUCGGGAGAGGUGAGUGGAACUGUGAGUGUAGAGGUGAAAUUCGUAGAUAUUCGCAAGAACACCAGUGGCGAAGGCGGCUCACUGGCCCGAUACUGACGCUGAGGCACGAAAGCGUGGGGAGCAAACA